rnacentral:lncRNA from 1 species
GAUACUAGUUGAAAGGAAGGGAAACUGUUUCUCUUCGGAAGGUUCAGGUUGCAUCUAAAAAUUUUUCUAUUCAUCUAUAUGAUUAAAGAUUAAAUUUUUACCUAAAUAGUAAUAGAAUUAGAGAUCAAAUCUCAAAUAAUCUAAAUUAAACCUUCGUGAAGGCCUGGAUGUACAGAUCUCGUACUUCACAUGCACGCCAGA